GUCAAGCCUGGCACCCAUCUUGUUUGCCUUUUCGUCCAGAUUGUUCUGCAGAGCUGGGGAUUGACUUCCGGGCCUCCCACAUGCUGGACUGGCAUUCUACCUCUGAACCACACUGUGCCCUGUGUUGGAUCCCCAGCUCCUUAUAAACAUCAGGCAUGGCAAAGCACGCCUGUAAUCCUAUUUCUUGGGAAACAGAAGCAGUGGAUCUGGAGUUGAAGAUGGAGUCUCCCAGAUCCCAGCAGUGACUCCCAAGGUCUCCAAGAAGACAAUGGACACAGCGAUGGGCCACUCCACCUGAACUAUGAUUUGACAGACACCACCCAGGGAGCACCUAUGGACUGCAAACUGCUGAGCUCUGGACUUGCUGAAAGCUGAAGUGAACCAGUCCAGCCGAUGUGAUUGCUCCCUGUCCCUUCACCUAGAUCAGCUAAUCAGAUGUUUCUGAUAAACACCCUGUGACCCAGCCUUUGGCUAGCCUUUCCUGGGCCCUGACAAUCAACACCCCAGUUUCAGCUGGAAGUAGUUACAGAAGAGAAUACAUUGCCCCUGCUUCCUUAACAGGCUGAAAAUCCUAAGUCAAAGGCCAAUUCCCUUUGGGGGAUCUCUGAGAAGAAGGAACCUGUUUUCUAUCCCAGGCAACAUAACCCUACUCCUUGGUAUAUACCUAUGUCCUCACAAGUUCAACAAGAGCACCCCACUGGCUGCCCUCACAUCAACUUGGUUUGCCUGUACCUUGACUUAACACCCUGCCUCUCCCUAGGACGUUCCACUGAGAAUCAGUUCAUAGUGCGCCUCAAAUCCUAUACUAUGAAAGGGAGGCAGGGGGAAUGCAUAUGGAGAUGACGGGCUUCUCUGCUCACGAGGAGGGCAUCUCCGGUUCUCAUCCCUCUCUUGAUAGGAGCAGCCUUAAUCACUGGGGACCGUAACUCUCGAACCCUAAACAAACAAACAAACCAACAGAGAUAUUUCUCACCUCCAUUCUUCCAUCUCUUUCCUAGAAAAUCAAAUUGACGUACUAGCUGAAAUGGUCCUGCAGAACUGCUGUGGGCUGGACCUAUUUUCUUUAAGCAAGGAGGUUUAUGCAUGGCCCUGAGAGAAGCAUGUUGCUUUUAUGCCGAUCAUUCAGGUGUUAUUAGAGAGAUCCCAACGAAAGUUAAAGAAAAUCUUCUCACUGAGCAGGAGGAAAGAAAACAGAGUUCCAGCUGGUACGAAUCACUUUUCAACUGGCUCUCCUGGUUGACAACCCUCGUUACAAGUUUAAUCGUUUCCCCAACCCUCCUGCUCCUUGUUCUACUGAGGGUCCCCUGUGUUUUCAGCACCACUGUGUGCUUUGUUCAAGAUCACAUAGGCGCUUUAAGCUCAUGAUUCUAAGGGCACAGUACAACCCCUUAUUUGAGCCCCUAGACAAAGGUGCAGCUCAGUCAUGAAGGCAUGAGGGGAAUAAAGGGAGCAGGCAAAAGCACCUUGGCCCGAGCGCUGCCAUUUUGACUUCAGACUCCAUUUAACCUAUAUGGUGAAAUAAAAUUCAGGUCUCCAAGCCCUAGGGGAGCUGAUAACUUUCCGA